AUUUGGUUUUAACUUUGAAAUUUAAAAUUAAAUUAUUGAAAAUUUAAAAUUUAAUUUUAAAAUUUAAAACUUAAAACUUUAGGACUUUAAUUUAAAAUUAUAUAUUUAAAAUUUAAAAAUAUAAUUUCAAUUAUAGGGGUAAUAUUAUUAUUUUCUAUUUAUAACUACUAACUAUUCCUCUUAUUCCCAAAAACCAUCCAAACGCAAUUUUUCUAGUUCCAGCUUAUACUCACAAUUUCACCCAAACAAAAAAAAUACUCUUGUUCCUACAAAAAUCCAUACUUGUACCUAUCCCCGGUAUAACUAGUUUCUACUAAUUCCCGAACCAAACGGAGCCUAAAGGGUAUGUGUUAAGGUUAGUCGGAUGAACUCUAAGUAUAUGUGUUAGACUUCGAAUGAAUAUAUUUUUGACUGAAUUCUAAGUAUAUAAUUUAGAACUCUAUCGAUUUAUAGAUGGAAUUGACUUAGCCCUAAGUAUAUGUAUUAGUGGUAGUCGAUUUUGCUUUU
rnacentral:lncRNA from 1 species